rnacentral:lncRNA from 1 species
CAAAAAAAAAAAACAAAACUGUGUGGGAUCAGGAGCACAUGGCAAUUGAGUCAGAUUGCUGUUCAUUUAGAGGUCCAUGUCAUGGUAUGCAAAGAAGGGAAGUGUUUAAAACUAUUAAAAUACAAAAGUGUUAGGACAAAGACAUUCAUGGGGGAGAGGAAGAGGGGGGCAAAUCACCAUUAAAAAAAAUGCCAACAGACUUUAAUUCUUUUUUAUGAGUCUAUGGCCUGUUAAGGAAGGAAAAAAAAAAAAGAUUAAAAGCUGGUGUACUGUGUAAGGGUACACAUAAAAGAUACAUUUCUUGACAUCCUUCCAAAAUUAAAAAUGUUUAAAGACUAUUUUGUAACCUUGUCUAACAACAUUCUAGUAGCUUCGGUUUUCUCUCCUGUGAAUCAGUUCUGGCCUUCAUGUACAAAUUAGUUUGUUUUGUGGUACUGCAUGGAAUAAAACAUAUAUCAGAAGGACAUAAUGCAAAAUAUUUAUUUCCAACUCUGACUGAUGUAUGCACGCAGCCUGGUACAGGUAUGAAUUUCUCCCUUUAAAAAGUCAGAAGACAUGUGAGCCUGUGCAUGCCCACCAAACAGCCUUCUAUUUAAUUAAAAAAGUGUUCUUUAGGGCUAUGGGUUAAAAUAACUUUUUGGAAUUUCAGCCUGGGGAGCAGCUCCAGGGCCGAAGUGUUACUGUAGCUGUUAAGCCAGUGCUGGAAAGUGAAUUGCUGGCCCAGGGGGCAGAGUAUGCCUGCCUGAGGACGUGUAGGUGAGUCCCAGAAGUCACUGCCGUACAGGCUGCCUGGGAGAAGAUCACAUGAGAACAGUCACCUUGAAACUGCCUAAGUGUCAAAUGCAGAAGGAAUGAUAGUCCUGGACACUUUUUGUUUAAAUACUGAGAUACGGGUCUUGAGUUUUAACUACUUGGCUUUGCAAAGGAAACCAGACUUGUCUCUCGGUGCCCACCUGGGAUCUCUUGAAGCAGGUUAUUCCACGGAAAAGAUCAGAGGCAGGGUGUGCCAGCAGGUGGAUGAUCAGCCCGGUGGAGUUGGCAGACACUGUGCACAGGCUCCGAGGCGGCAGAAGACACGCUCCUCACUAGUCGAGUCUUCUGGCAAUGUUUUGCAAUGUUACAAGCUAUGAAGAUCUAAUCAGCAGAGGGAGCUGUGUGGAAGAACAACACUUUCGUCCUUUCUGUGGUCCAAGUUCUAUGAGGCAAGACAAGGUGAUUUAAAAAGCUUUUGAGAACUGCCUGAGCUGCUGUAAAAUACCGCUGGCUGUUUACUUCAGGCACUGCUGUAAACUGAUUUAAACACUUUAGGGAAGUACAUUCCUAUACAAAUAGGUAUAACUGCAUUUAUUUAUUUAUUUACAAAUAUUCAUGAGGCUGAUUGUAGGAAAGCAAUUCUGAGAUGCACA